UUCCUGGUGGUCCAGUGGUUAGGACUCUGUGCUUUCACUGCUGAGGCCCCAGGUUCAAUCCCUGGUCAGGGAA
rfam:TPA: Bos taurus chromosome 11, whole genome shotgun sequence.